CAGUUGUCCUGCCAAGGGCAUGGCUGGGUAGCUAUGUGCGGAAUGGAUAAGCGCUGAAAGCAUCUAAGCGCGAAGCCAACUUCAAGAUAAGAUUUCCCACCGCAAGGGUAAGACCCCAGAAAGACUAGCUGGUUGAUAGGUCGAAGGUGUAAGUGCAGCAAUGUAUUUAGCUUAUCGAUACUAAUAGGUCGAGGACUUGACCAAU
rnacentral:rRNA from 1 species